AUUGAACGCUGGCGGCAGGCCUAACACAUGCGAGUCGAACGGUAACAGGAAGCAGCUUGCCGCUUCGCUGACGAGUGGCGGACGGGUGAGUAAUGUCUGGGAAACUGCCUGAUGGAGGGGGAUAACUACUGGAAACGGUAGCUAAUACCGCAUAACGUCGCAAGACCAAAGAGGGGGACCUUAGGGCCUCUUGCCAUCGGCUGUGCCCAGAUGGGAUUAGCUAGUAGGUGGGGUAACGGCUCACCUAGGCGACGAUCCCUAGCUGGUCUGAGAGGAUGACCAGCCACACUGGAACUGAGACACGGUCCAGACUCCUACGGGAGGCAGCAGUGGGGAAUAUUGCACAAUGGGCGCAAGCCUGAUGCAGCCAUGCCGCGUGUAUGAAGAAGGCCUUCGGGUUGUAAAGUACUUUCAGCGGGGAGGAAGGGAGUAAAGUUAAUACCUUUGCUCAUUGACGUUACCCGCAGAAGAAGCACCGGCUAACUCCGUG
rnacentral:rRNA from 1 species